rnacentral:lncRNA from 1 species
UGCCCAAGAGAAAAUUCGCCUAACUUAACCUUCAUAUUUCCAAAAUUUGUUUAGCUAUUUUUAGGGAUUUUCCUCCAACUGAAAAUUUUACGAACAUGAAGAAAAAGGUUAAUGGAAGAAACAAAUCAGAGGACAGAGUUUGUGGAAAAUGGAGCAAGGAUAAUGAGAACAGAAGGAGAUUGAACCAGAGAGGGUGCCAUGGACAAUCCAUCCACUCAUUCUUUCUUUUUUUCUUUCUUCAACAAAUAUUUAUUGAGCCUCUAUUAAGCGCCAGGUAUUCUUCUAGGACUGGGAUAUGGCAGGGAACAAGAUGAAGCAUUUUCUUCCGUGGGGUUUAUAGUCUAGCGCAGGGGUUGCCCAACUUUUCCAUAAAGGUCCGGACAAUAAAUAUUUUAGGCUUUAUGGGCCACACAGCCUCUGUGACAACUACUUAACUCUGCCAUCAUAGGUGCCAAAGCUGUCAUAGAAAGACAAACAAAUGACCAUGGUUGUGUUCCAAUAAAAUUUUAUUUAUUAAAACAGAUGGCAAGACAAUUUGUCCUUUAAGCCAUGGCUUGCCAACCUCUGUUCUAAGUGGAAGGGGAAAGGAAAUGUCUAAGAUCGUUUCAGGACGUGAUAAUGCCUCGAAGAAAAGUAAAGCUGGUCGAGGCCAUAGAAGGAAAUGAGGUGAGGGAGCCGCUAUUUCAGAAUGUUUGAGGUCUUCCUAAUGAAACGAAGCAAAGGAGCGCGUGAAGUGAGGCUGUCAGAGAGGAUGGGAUCCGGCACACGGUGGAAGGCUUGACUCGAAACAAGAGCCUGGACAAUUACUCUCUUAUAAUAGGAAAGAAGGCAAAAUAUAACAUUACAGAGGCAGUGGGAUGAAUUAGAAGAUUUUAAAAGAUGUUGGAAUAUGUAAUGGUAACGUCCUUGUGAAUUCAGAAGAGUGAAGAACUGCUUCGUCUCGUUUGAGAAGAAAAGGCCAUCUUAUUCUAGUGAAUAAGGGAGGUUUGUUGUAAGAAACGGAGGACUGAAAAAAUCUAUGAAGUAAGGGCCAGCCCCGUGGCUGAGUGGUUAAGUUCGUGUGCUCCACUGCGGCUGCCCAGGGUUUCGCCAGUUCGGAUCCUGGGCGUGGACGUGGCACCGCUCAACAGGCCACGCUGAGGCGGCAUCCCACAUGCCACAACUAGAAGGACCUGCAACUAGGAUAUACAACUAUGUACAGGGGCGAUUUGGGGAGAAAAAGCAGAAAAAAAAAAAAAAGAUUGGCAACAGUUGUUAGCUUGGAUGCCAAUCUUUAAAAAAAAGAAAAACAAAUCUAUGAAGUCAUCCAAAUUUUCACAAAAUUCUCCUUGAGAAUGCCUGUAAAUCCCCCCAAAGAAGUCUUUGAAUUCCAUAGGUCUGAGAAAAAUUACUUCUUCUUCUGAUUAAGGAGAUAAGAACUCUUUAAACACUAUAAUGAAAAGUAUACAUUUAUUAUAAUUUAAAAUAUUUCAUUACUGAGUUGCCCUGUUUAAUUCGCUUACGUAUACUGGGACUUGCUGUGCAUGCUAAUCAAUAGGUUAACUCCACUAGCAGUCACCUCUAUUAAAAGUUAGGCGAAGGAUCAUUAAACAUACAUAUAAAAUAAUCCCCUAUUCUGAUUUUAUUUCCACGAGAAAAUUUAAUCUGCUGUGCAUCACUUCAAUUCAUUCUCUUUUUCCAGAAAGGGGAACUACGGGACAGGAACACAUUAUGUGGUGGUGAAGAGUAGGGGCUAGAGGCAAAUUACAGGGGUUUGAAUGCCAGGCUCCCUCCCGUGUUACUACUGUGUGACCUUGCGAAGGUCUCUUACCUUCUCUGUGCCUACACCAGAGGAUUAGAUGUACAAACACAUGUGGAAAGUACAGUGCCUAGUGUGUCCAAAGC